UACGGGGGGGGCUAGCGUUAUUCGGAAUCAUUGGGCGUAAAGGGCGCGUGGGCGGCGCGGUAAGUCAAAGGUGAAAUCCCUCGGCUCAACUGAGGAACUGCCUUUGAAACUGCCGUGCUUGAGUCCGGGAGGGGGUAGCGGAAUUCCCAGUGUAGCGGUGAAAUGCGUAGAUAUUGGGAGGAACACCAGUGGCGAAGGCGGCUACCUGGACCGGUACUGACGCUGAUGCGCGAAAGCGUGGGGAGCAAACAGG
rnacentral:rRNA from 1 species